rnacentral:lncRNA from 1 species
CAGAAUUGCCUAAAGUCUCUGAACUGCCUAAACCAGAGUUGCCUAAAGUCCCUGAACUGCCUAAACCAGAGUUGCCUAAAGUCCCUGAACUACCUAAACCAGAGUUGCCUAAAGUCCCUGAAUUGCCUAAACCAGAAUUGCCUAAAGUCCCUGAACUACCUAAACCAGAAUUGCCUAAAGUUCCUGAACUGCCUAAGAUCCCUGAAUUACCUAAGCCAGAGUUGACUAAAGUCCCUGAAGUGCCUAAGCCAGAGUUGACUAAAGUACCUGAGUUGCCUAAAUUCUCAGAAGUGCCUAAGUCUGAGUUGCCCAAAGUACCUGAGUUACCUAAAGUCCCUGAAGUGCCUAAGUCUGAGUUGCCCAAAGUACCUGAGUUACCUAAAGUCCCUGAAGUGCCUAAGUCUGAGUUGCCCAAAGUACCUGAGUUAUCUAAAGUCCCUGAAGUACCUAAGUCUGAGUUGCCCAAAGUACCUGAGUUACCUAAAGUCCCUGAAGUACCAAAGUCUGAGUUGCCCAAAGUUCCUGAAUUGCCUAAAUUCGACUUGCCUAAAAUUCCCGAAUUGUCUAAACCAGAGUUGCCUAAAGUACCUGAAAUUCCUAAGCCUGAGUUGCCUAAAAUACCAGAAAUACCAAAACAUUAAAUGCCUUAGAUGCUUAAGGUUCCUGAACUUUCUAAGCCAUAGUUGUCUU